rnacentral:lncRNA from 1 species
AACAUAUUUUUCCUACAAAGUUUUUCUUCUUCUCAAACUUUAGAAAUUCAUAUCUCUUGCUCCAAUUGUUUGGUUUUUGUCAAUUUUAUAGAUAAUAUAGAAUUUAUCCUUAAGCAUUACUACAAAAAAAUUCAAUAGUAAAUUUGCGACCAAUCGUCUGACAUCUUAAAAACCCUAGCAAGUACUUCAAACCCUAAUUUGCAAGCACCUAAGUACUAUUUUCUUCAUAUUUCACAAAUCUGAAAUUCAAAUACAACAAAGUUUGUAUAUUGAGUUCAUUAACAUGAUUAUACACAUUCUUAGAAAUUAUAAGCCAAAAUCUUAUCAAAUUGCUCAAGAUUUAGCUCAAAAUACAACUACUAUUGAAUCAGGUCACUUACUACCCUUAGAUUUAUAAGUGCUGAUUUCAAUCUCUAAUAUCUCUUUUAUUUUGAUUUAGAAUCCAUCAAAAAAUAUACCAAAAUUAUAGC